rnacentral:lncRNA from 10 species
UCCGUUUCGGUCCAGCCGGGCUGCGGCCAUUGUUUGUGUGGACUGAGUGUUUUGGCCAUCCCGGUCCACUCUCACAGGCUCCGUUAAGUGACAUGAACUCUCAGGAGGACUGAGCCAGAAGCGGACAGGGCAAGACGAGCUGUGCUUGAAGGAAGAGGGGCAGAAAAUCGAGGGUCAGGGACUGAGAAGCUACUCCGGUUUAGAAACCCCAGAGACACCCGUGUAGAUGGGUACAUCACGGCUUCUCUCCCACGUUAAGACUUAAUAAAGGAACCUACCUUUGAUCAGCAAGGAAGGACUGGGGUGGCAAAGGCUCAUGCCCCCAUUUUACAGAUGUCAUCAUUUGUCCCAACAUCAUUGAUUGAAUAAGCCGUCUUUCCCCCACAAAUUUGAUGUAACCUUUGUCAUGUGUAAAAUGCACUGUUGUACUUGUGUCCAUUUCUGGAUUUGUACCCGUUUCCAUUGAUCUUCUCUACUUGUAUGUCAAGCCAUGUUAUGAAUUGCAGAGUCCUUAUUAAAGUUUUAAUAUGCCAUUGAA